UACGUAGGGUGCGAGCGUUUGUCCGGAAUUAUUGGGCGUAAAGAGCUUGUAGGCGGUUUGUCGCGUCUGCUGUGAAAAUCCGGGGCUCAACCCCGGACUUGCAGUGGGUACGGGCAGACUAGAGUGUGGUAGGGGAGACUGGAAUUCCUGGUGUAGCGGUGAAAUGCGCAGAUAUCAGGAGGAACACCGAUGGCGAAGGCAGGUCUCUGGGCCACUACUGACGCUGAGGAGCGAAAGCGUGGGGAGCGAACAGG
rnacentral:rRNA from 1 species